UUGACAUGCCAUGCUCAGUAAUAGUAGUUAUCUUAUUGACGUGUAGGCCUACCUCAAGAUAGCUAUCCCCCAAUCAACACCGCUCCUGCUUCUCUCUCGACAACACAUUCCUGGGCCCCGUCUUACAAAGAGUUGCGAUCGAUCUGAUCAACAACAACUAUGGAAAGCCACCAACAUCAACAUAUAAAAUGGAUGAUUGCUCAAAAUAUUUUAUAGGCCCUCUAUUGCCAUAGUAGCCUCUAUGGUUUUGUAAAGUGCGGCAAAGUUAUUUUACAAAAUAUCAGACGAUGGCCUGUAGACCUCAUCAUGGCAUUGCAACAUCAUUGCAAAGGUACUUCAGGGAAGCCGCGUUGGGUCUCAUCUCAUAAAGACUUGUAACAAAUGCUUAAUUUCUAUAACAAAUUGACUAUCGUUCAAUCAGAUUGAAAAAUUUCAGUAGCUUUUAACUGUUAUUGGAUGAUCAUACAGUGAUUGUGGAAUUUGAAUAGAAUUGCAGGGUAAACACAAUGGCCCGUAUUCUGAAGUCGGGUUUAACUUAAACUCGGGUUUAAAGUUGUGGUUUAAGUAUGGACAGCCAAUUGUUACAUAUAUCACUAACAGUAGGGAUAUAAUAUUUCAGCUCAUUUGGCUCUCAAAUCAUUCGUAAUUGUCUAGGGAGUAUAUAUAGAUUAUUGUCUUCACCAUCGAUGAAUCAGGAAAGAGCACAGCAAACAUAAGAAACGUACAACUUAAUAAAAAGAAUUGAUACUUUUGGCUGUCCAUACUUAAACCACAACUUUAAACCUGAGUUUAACUUAAACCUGACUUCAGAAUACGGGCCUAUAAGUAUGUAGAUUGCAAGGCAUCUGCAUGGUGUCUGUAAAGCCUCUGCACAAAAAUUGUACAAUCAGAAGAGAUGAGGUCACAAAAACAUUUUUUUUCUGACAUUUCAAAGUUAUUAAUGGCAUGUAUCAACAAUGAAUGAUUGAAAAAAAGCUCAAACCCAAAUUUGGUGGGUAUUGAUCCAAUGGGGGCCAGAGAUGUGUAUGUAUGAUUACCUACUUACCCCCCUUUGAAAUCAAUCUCAAUUGGCCUGGUUGCAAAUGGUUAUGAACUGGGCCAAUCAAUCCACAUUGAUUUCAUUGGAGCCUAUGUCAUGUUUUCAUUUGCCAUACCUUGGAUCACCAUAAACCAAAUCAUGUUAAGUUUGGUGUGUGGAGCAUUUGCAUCAUGCAUAAAAAGAAAAUUGAUGUCACACUUUGGUACUCUGUGACAAUUUUUUGAUAGAGGCUUUGAAGAUCACAGGGCGAUAGCACAAAUCCUGUUUAAUCUAUGCAAAGGCUCUGUACAGCCUCGCCAUUGCAUAAGAAAAUGCAUGAUGCAUAUAGAUAAUGUGAGCACAUAUCUUAUAGACUAAUAAUCUAAAAUGCCCCCCCC